rnacentral:lncRNA from 1 species
AGGUCAGUUUGAUGCAGCUGGACUCAGUGUUUACAACAAUAACUGGAGCAACAUUCAUGACUUCACGCCGGCUGCCGAUGUGGAAACGUGGUCCCUUUUACCAGAAGUAAAUAUAAUGUUAUUUUACAUUAGUGAUGCACCGAUAUCGGUAUCGGCACUAAAAUAGAAAUAUCGGUAAUGUUGUGUUUGUGGUGUUACCCUGAGUGCAUAUCCACACCGGGCGAGCUUGAAAAAUAUGCCCGGCCACGGUGGGAACGUGGCCGGGCAUAUUGUUCAAGCUCGCCCGGUGUGGAUAUACACUAAGGGUUAACACCACAAACAUCAUAUUCACCUGAGUACACAACGCCAACACAGAAAAAAUCGGUAAUGUUGUUGUUAAUAUUACCGAUAUUACAAACCGUCAUUAACUAUUAUAUGGCAAGCAUCACUUUCAGUGAAAUGGCGGACUGUGAUUGGCUGAGAAGCACUUUCAGCGGCCAGUCCAUUACGUAAAAACAAACGCAUGCAUUUUAAAACAAAACAGCAAAACUAAUUGAAACUUUGAAAAUUAUAAUUUAAUUUGUUAUUAAUAAGAUAUCUGCGAAUGAUUUUAAGUGGAAAGGAUGGAAUACAUUGGUAUUUUUUGUUUUCUUCGACCAAAUGUGUACCACACUACUAAUAUGCAUUUCAAAUAUUGCAUUUCUUGUUUGUUUCAAGUAUAUAAAUGCCAUAUAAUAAACUUUUUAUUAACCUCGCUUGUUCGGUCUUAGAGAAAUAUUGGACCUCGGUCUUUUUGUACAAACCUCGCCCCUAUGGCACAGAAUAAAGAUCCAUACAGAAGGGCCACUUACGUCGGAAGCUUUGACGUUUCUGUCCUCGCGCAUGUCGCAUUACGCAUGUUGGCCGCCAUUUUCCUAGCCAGUCAAUGACAUUUUCUGGCCAAUAAACACGCUGUACUGGUUGGCUGCUCCGCCUUCUGGCCAGUAAACUGCAUAUUUUUGCAUAAAAAAACGAGGGCGCGUUGCACCGCUGAGUGGCCCUUCUGUUACUGAUCUUUAUUCUGUGCCUACGGGCUCGAUCUGUACAAAAAAAAAAAGACCUCGGUCCGAUAUUUCUUUGUAAAGAAGUUUUCUCAAUAAGAAGUUAUUAAUGAUUGGUUAUAUAUAGUUGUAUAAUAUACUAGUUUGUUGCAUAUUGGAAACCUCUUCAUUUAAUUUUGAAAAAGCGAGAUCUUUUUAUGACAUUUAAAGCGAUUAAUGGCAUGCUUCCAGAAUACGUAUAACACAACUAUUUUACACUUGUGAAAACAGUGGUUACGUACUGCGCAGUAGUAAUUUAAAGAUGCCCUUUUCGUACAGAGGAGCAGCGUAUUGGAACAACAUCCCAAUAAACUUGUUGAAUGAAAACCUUAAGAGAGUGAACAAGUUUAAAAUCUGUCCAUCAUCUAUUAAAUAAUCACAUCUUGUAAAUGAGUAUAUUUUGUAAAUAAGUAUAAUUUAGUUUAUUAGUAAUAAGUUUAUCCUUGGGCUUCUUUUAUAAUGUAUGUAUUUUCCGCACGGCUCUUUGAAAAUCACCUAUGUGAAAGGUUACCGUGUUUAAAGAUCAUUAAUCAUAAUAAUAAUAUAAUUUUCUUACUUAUUUACACGAUGUGUUUUGAAAGAUCUUGCAAGUUCUCGUAUUGAAUGAUUUUUUCUGUCACUAUAGGAUGCCAAAGUUUCUGACUACGUUCCACAUCCUCCAUGUCGUUACUUUCCUGAAAUGGAAGUUUCAGCUGAUGCCGAUUCCAGUGUUGUUCCUCUAACAUUAGGCACGAGAAGAAAACAAUCCGAUGAGG